UACUCAGCUACUGUCCAUCUCUGGAUGCUAAUGGGAUCAAGAAAUGACUCUGAGAUAAGCAGAGCUAUAAAGAAAAUGGAAUCAGAGCCGUACACAUCACACCAUGUGUCUUACUAUAUUUAAUCACACUGUCUGAGGAGAACAGGAAGACAAAGCACAUCAAUGGAGUGAGGCUGAAGAUAGGAGGCAUUUUGGAACAGUGGAAAGAGCUCUGGCCUGAAGUUAGACAAACCUG